rnacentral:rRNA from 1 species
UACGUAGGGGGCUAGCGUUGCUCGGAAUCACUGGGCGUAAAGGGUGCGUAGGCGGGUCUUUAAGUCAGGGGUGAAAUCCUGGAGCUCAACUCCAGAACUGCCUUUGAUACUGAGGAUCUUGAGUUCGGGAGAGGUGAGUGGAACUGCGAGUGUAGAGGUGAAAUUCGUAGAUAUUCGCAAGAACACCAGUGGCGAAGGCGGCUCACUGGCCCGAUACUGACGCUGAGGCACGAAAGCGUGGGGAAGCAAAGCAGGG